GCAGAAGAGAAUUAUAUAAGUGACUUAAUUUAGGCAAAAAUUAAAUUAUUAGAACAACAAAGUAAUCGGAGAAUAAGAAACAAAGGUAGAGUUGGCCUACUGGUUAGGUCACUCAUCUCUCACUACUUUUUUUUUAUCAAAUAUCGGACCAAAGGGCCCGACCCUAAUUUCCUACUGGAGCUAAAUCUCUUGUAUACCAUGAGGUUAGGAAAAUGAUCAUCAAGACCAGAGGACUCAACCGACAUAUUGCCAACAAAGCAUCGGAAUUCCAACAAGGCAGUGGCUUCUAUCGCUUGAAGAAAUAAUAACAUGAGUCAACUUCGCCUCUUGAGUAGUGAAUACUCAUGAUAAAGAAUGGGUGAAAACCAUCAUUACUCAUCAGCUGUGUUUGUAAUGAGCCAAUCAAGCAGAACGACCACAUAGGAUCAAAAGAGCUAAACACACAAACAAAACAAAAGAUAAAAACAGUACACACAUAAACAUAAUGAGGUGCAGUAGCCCAGCCUUGACCACCGAGCCCAAAUCUCAGCAUAGGCCCAGAUAUCUGUAGCCUACCCAAAACUAGACCCGGUCCAUGGCCUAAAUUCGCUUCACUUGCCUGCUUCCGUCGAACCACCACUCCUCCAUCAACACCUUCGCUAGCUUUCCCCAAGCUAUAGAUCGAGCUUCCCACACUAGCCUGCACAACUCAGAUCGACGGGCCGAGGCCGCCACCAUCAGAUUCGCGGCCAAAGCUUCCAAACUCGGUCGAACUUCCCUGAGAUAACUCGCCGUAACCCAACCAGAGACCCGAUAUGACCUCAAAUCAUCUAUCGAUCUCUAAUGCUUCCAUGAGAAACUCAGACAGACCUGAUCCGAACAGAAGUAAACCGGAUCAGGUACUAUGGACGCCGGAACAACCACAAAAAUCCCAUGCUAGAACGAAUCUGAACCCUUCCCCUACCACCUCAGUUGGAUCUGCAACUUCCAAUCCCACCUCUUCAUUCCUUCCAACUCGCCCACCAACCCAAACAAAAAUAGGAGAAGAAGACGAGCAAAAAUGGCGCGCACUCCAGCUAAACGUUUCCUCUCCCAGGCUAAGACAUUACGGCGAGGCCGCCUACAAUGUUUAGCCAGGAGAGAGAGGUUUUCUUUCUUAAUAGGGUUUUUUCCUUAGGCGCGUUCUAUUUUCUAAUGGCUCGUGUAUGUCGAUUGUCCUCAUCACUCACACUUGAGUUCACAGUUUCGAUCCCCCUUAUUGUAAACUGGGGUAGAUAUUUUUGUUUAAUUGGACGAAGAUGUAUUGAAGUGCCGAGAUUGCCCUCAAAUUAUUUAAGACUUAACUGCCGUAUUGAAGAAUUUGAUAGUUGGGUAUCAAAUUGAAGAUAGCCCUAUAAUUCAAAUGGUUUUUUGUAAUUAAUCCUUAAUGUUAUUUUCAUGUCAUAACUCUGUCUUAGUGUCAUUUUUCAAACUCUCUGCCUUUGUGUCAUUUUCUAAACUCACUGCUUUAGUGUCAUUUUCAGAGAAAUGAACCAAAUGAGUCAUAUAUAUAUACUCAUGAUUAUACGAACCAGGUGAUUACAAAAAACACAAGUACUCAUAAGCCUUGCACAAUGUUUUGAAGGGGGCAGAACUCUUCUUGGAAAUGUGGAAUUCCUCUCCCAACUGGUUAUUUGUAUUCAUCAUUCAUCAAUCUCUCUAUACUAUUCAUCUGUUUUUUUUUUGUUGUGGAGAAGAACAAUCUUAACACAAAUCAAAGCAAAACCAAAAUCUAUCCCUCGUGUUUGCUCAUUCAAUUUUGGAUUAACAACAGAAGAUUGGUACUGAAGGCCUCCCAAACAAAAUAUGUAACCCUCAAGAGUCAGCAGAACUAUUCCAAUAAAAAAAACUCUGUAGCCAUGGUUGAAACCUAGCUAGCUGCAUGCAAUGGUGAUUUAGGAACUGACUUUGCUUAUGUAACUGUGGCCAUAUGACAGAUCAAGUUGAUAACUCGUGAGCUGCAAUACACCGUGUUCAUCAGAAAACUGUGAUGUCAAAAAAAAUCUACAAUAUAUUUAUGUAGAAAUUGUGGUAUUACCUGUAACCCCACUCAUUGUCAUACCAAGCGACAAGCUUCACAGAGUUGUCAUUCAAAGCAAUUCCAGCCUUGGCAUCGAAAAUGCUCGACCUGCAGCAUAACAUGUAUGCACUCCCUCAGAGCCUCAAUCAAUUAACUGAAGUAAAGAAUAGGGCCGUUACCUAACCAAGUGCUGCAGGUUUUAUAGAGGCAACAUGUCACAGUCAGCAAUAUUCUGUCAUUCUCACCUAUGGUUACUCACAAAGUCAGUGGACACCAAAUCAUCGUCUAUGUAUCCUAGGAUUCCCUUUAGGUUAUUGAAAGGAAACUCAGAUCAUUGAGGAGAUAGAGUUGAGCAUGCCUUGAAAGACAAGCAAGUUAUAUCAUCAAAAAGAAAAAUAGGCAUAGAGAUGCACCAAAAUAUGAAACCAAGCAAGUCUUUAGUAGUUUAGUGUGUUUCAAAUUCUAUAAGAAACCAAAGUGGAUGGCCUGAUCCUUACUUGAUAGCACUUUUAAUCUCAUCAUAUGUAGCCUUCUUCUCAAGUCUUACUGUGAGGUCAACCACGGGCACAUCAACAGUGGGAACCCUGAAGGCCAUUACUGUCAACUUCCCAUUUAGCGCAGGCAGCACUUUACCAACACCCUAUAAAUCAAACCAAAACUAGUUCUGAAAAUUUCCCAAAUCUUUUAGACAGCAUUAGAGAAUCAUACGAACUCUGAAGACAUACAUUACAUCUACCAACACAAGGUGUUAGGGGUCCAAUAUAAUACCUCGGCAGCUCCAGUACUAGUUGGAAUGAUGUUACGGCCAGCAGCUCUACUAUCUCUCCAGUCUUUCAUUAGUGGACUACCAACAGUCCUUUGAGUAGCUACAUCACAUAUCAAAGGAACCUUCAACCAAUGAUUCAUUACAGUCUAGCUUGCUUAGAAUCAAAUGAGCAUACUAUACAUUCUCACCAGUAACUGAAUGGACAGUCAUAAGACCCUCUAUGAGACCAAAUUUAUCGUGGAUAACCUACCAAGACAUGUACAUUGAUACAGUAAACGUACAUGAGAAAAUUAACCAGUUGAUUGAAGCACUAGCUAGCUGAUAUUGAUUUGAUUACGACAAUAAUAAGAAAUGAAGUAGAGCAAGGCAGUGAGUAGUGCAGCUUGCAUUCGAAACAAUGCUAAGAUCUGGAGUGUAGUCCUUCUCAUUAACACCCACAACAAACAUGGGAAACUCGUCACUUCUGGCGCAGAAAUGAUUACUUUCUUUGCACCAGCCUAUGUAAUGGAACAUGUAUCUAUGAGCAACAAAAUCUUCAUGAACAUGUAUACAAGCAUGUGAAAAUUUUUAACGUCAGGUGGCGUAAUGCUCUCUCCUGAUCCGAGUUAACUCCGCUGGACUCGACGACAAAUUCAGCACCACCAUCUUCCCAUGGGAUUUCAUUAGGUAAGGUAAACAAACAACUAUAAACAAGCCAAAGUGAAAUUUCAUUGUUCUUGUUAACUACCAAUUAAACACGAGUGGGAGUGUAAUUAAGAAAAUAUCACCAAAGAGAAGUGUGCUUUCAUCCUUAACCUUAAGCUCGCCAUGCUUCCACUGCCCAUGAACACUGUCGUACUUUAACAUGUAGCUCUGAGAAGAUGGGAUUAGUUAAUACAUGCAACCCCUUUGUCGAGAAUUAAGUUACCUAAUACACAAUAACACAAAUUCAACUCGAUCCACAAUAGUGGAGAAUUUGGGUGAUGCCAUUUACGAAAUUCCUCCACCGGCGAUAGACAAAAUGUUUGAUGAAAUGUUUCAAAAAGAUAAAGAUGAACACUAUAUUCACUACUAGCAAAAUGAAGUUUCACACAGAUUUAAAUCAGUGUUAAAUAUGGCUAUCUCACACAGACAUCCGUGUGAGAAAGUCAUUAGUCACGCUACACUCACGAAUUGUCUAUCCGUGCUGUUUGCAGGGGGGCUAAUGCUCAACACACACAGAUAAAAAAGUCCGUGCGAAUAGUUGACGUGGGCCCCAACAUAUAUCCACAAAACGUGAUUGCUUUAUGAGAGCUCAUUCAGUGAGAACAACUUUGUAAUUCACACAGAUAUCUGUGCGAAUUAGUAUGAUAUAUUCACACAGAUAACUGUGUAAAUAUAAUUCACUUAAAUUUGUGAGGUAACUUAUUCACGGAUAAAUGUGUCAAUUUUGUCUACUUUAAUUCACACUAUUUCCUGUGAAAUAGGGAUAGCAUUAAAAAAAUAUAUAAUUUCAAAUACUAAUUUCUUGCUCAUAUUUUUCCACUAUAUAUGUAUAUAUUUCAUUCUAUUUACAAUCAAACAUUCAAACAACACAAAUCCACAACUCCAUCCAUAACAUAACAUUUGACAUUUCCAUAAAAAUGUAUAUAGUUUACAUUCCUACCAACAUAGUUUACAUACCCUAAUUUUUACAAUUCUUGGAUUACAAAACAAGGCUGCUUUUCUAGAAUACAAUGUUGUUCAAGGUGGAAAACCACUAAGAAUUUCCCCCUAAGAACAACAUAAUCCUUGUCCAAGAAUAGAUUUCAUCAAAGCAGACAUAGAUAGAACCAUCAAAAUAGAUAAUGACAUAUUGGGGUGAACUAACCAAAUUAGCAAGGCUGCAAACGACGAACCGUUUGAGGCAUUUCGGGCCGAUACACAUCAUUGAUAUCUGGGGUUGGGAUCACAUUUCUACUGCCUUCUGGUUGUGUUGGCUCCAUUUGUGGUGCCGUCUCAAUUUGCAAAAAAUCCAGCAUCUCUCAGCAGUCUACCCAUUUCAUAUGUAGCUAGUUCGGUCACCUUCUUUACCAUAAGUAUUUCUUGCUGCCUUUUAAAGUCCUCCAUUUGUGCAAUGAGUCUUUUCUCCAUAUCAAAGUUUUUCCUUUCUUACGAUAUGUCAACUUGAAGAUUUCCAACCUAUUAGGUUGUUCCUCAACCCUAUUAUGAACUUGCUGCAAUGUAGGAUACGCAUAGAAUUAAACAUCAAUCAAUUGACACAUAAUAUACAUUAACAUGAUAACUCACCCAUUCAUAUACAACUACUGAAAAAGUCCUUGUGCCUGUACUGUGAUGCAUUACCCUUUGCGAGUGAUUACUGACAUUAAUAUCAGCCUUGGUCUGUAAAGAACAUUAAUAUCAGCCUUCACAUAUUAUUUUGGUAUGUAAAGGACACUCAUACAUUAAAUUACUCAUCAUACAUAUUAUAUUGAUGAACAUUGAAAACGUGAGAAAUGCAUCAAUACCUGAGUAUCCUCAUCAUCUAAGUGAGUAACAAAAGCUUUCCAUUGAUCACUAUCUAUGGAAGACAAAGGGCAUUGAAAACGCUCAUCAGUUCCUUUGUUGGGCACCCAAUACAAUUUUUUCAAGUCUGCCUUGUGGUGCUUCCAGCGAUCUAAGAGCUCUCAAGUGCAUAUUUCUUGAUUUUAGAUUUCUUAGCAACAGUGUCAGCCUCAGACCAAUCAAUUGUCCCCUACAAUUCCAAAUAUUAUAAUCCCUUAUUAAUUAGAUGAAUCAACCUAUCAAUAUAAUUCUAGAUUACCAGUUUACAUACCUCAAUAUGCAACCAUGCCUUUCCAAGGUCGUUAUCAACAUCAAAGUGACGCCAAUCCUUGACGUCAAUUGAGAAAUAAACGCCAUCAGUUGCCAAACUACCAAGGAAAUGGCGGUAAUGUGCACACUUAUCCCUUGGCCACACAGGUGCCCCAUACAUUCCCCACUUAACCCGUUCUCUCACUCCGCCCACUGCCCAUUUUCCAAUCGUUUUCCCUCACCCUCUUUUCUUAUUACCGCGACUAGCUUCACUACUUCUAUUUUCAGUAGGAGCUGUUGGUUGAGGCACAAAUAAACAACCAACAUCUUGAGUUUCACUGUCAUCAUAUUGGACGCUGUCAUGGAGCGAUUCCAGGCCAUCAUCAGCUAACUGAAAAUCCAUGUCAUAAUGGGACAUUCUGCAAUUAAACAAACACUGAGAUACUGUAAUAGCUGUUGUUAAGCAUCUAGGUUGAUAUUGUAAUCAUUGUCAUAGCUGCUGUUACAAUUCUAGAUUGAUAUCAUACUUGUAUAUAUUCAGAUUCUAGUUUCCCAACAACAUAUUCAAUUCGUAAUUCCAAUUUUCACCAAAGCUUAACCUCAUUCCACCAAAUCAAAAUUAAUUCGGCAUAUAACUUGGUUAGAAAUCCCUCUCAAUAAACCUGAUGGAUAUGAAAAUUAGCAUAGAAAUUCACAGCCAAUUUAUAGAUCUACAAACCCAAAUGACCGUGUACUUUACCCGUUCAGUAUGCUCAUAGAGUUAGUGAACGAAUAUCUCGUACCUUUAUCGGCUUUCGGCACAACGGUGGUGGUAGGAUCUGAGUCAGUGAUCGGACGUUCCUUUACCAGCUUCCGGCACAACGGUGGUGGUGGGAUCUGAGUCGGCGAUCGGAGCCUCUUGCAGCAGUCCUUGUUCCUUUUUUGUGUGAUUGUGGAAAGACUAAGAGUAAAUAGAGUAAAUAGAGACCCAAACGGCGUUGUGUUCUAGGCAUGUUAUUCCCUCUUUUUUUAUUGUUCUUUAAGGUAGGCACUUUAGUGUCCGUGUGGGUAUCCAGUUUUGAGCGGAAAUUUCCAGCAAAUUUGAGUAUCCAGUUUUGAGCGGCAAUACACCCCUACAUUAUUUCAUACGGAUUUUUGUGAAACUGUAGAAUAUUUCUCACGGAUAUCUGUAGGUAUAACACACCUCAGUAAAACUGAUAGUUGGUAUGUUAAAAUUUCACACUGAUGUCCGUCCUUAGGAAUUGACCUACAGAAGUCUGUGUCAAAUUUAGUUAUUCACACAGAUAUCUGUGUAAACAUUACACACGGUUAAAUGUGUAAUUAGCAUUGCAUACGGAUAUUUGUGAGAAUUAAGAUUAGUUACGCAAUACUGUAAAUAUGUGGUUUAUAUAAUUGAAAAAGAUAAAUAUUUCUAAUAUUUCAUUGUCACAGAUAUUUGUGUGACUUGUAAUACACACAGAUAACUGUGUGAACUAUUAUUAUCAUGUUUCACAUACACACUUUAUUCCGUGUCUAAUAUUUUUUCACACAAAUUUAUGUUGCAGUUAUAUUUGUAUAAAGUAAUGUGGGUCUGAAAAAGUCUAUUCCACAUAGUUAUAUGUGUCAUUGAGAGUUUGUCAUAGAUUUCUGUGAGUUUAAAGUAAUAUGUGAGAAUAGAAUCCGUGUGAGAUGUUUUUUUGCUAGUAGUGAUUCAUGUAGUUAACUGGUUGAACAUACACAUACCAUGUGAUCAGCAGUCAAGAAAGGAUCGUUUAUGGCAACGAGUUCAAUGUCGUCUCUCUGCAGAGCGACUCUGGCCACCGUCCGGCCAAUCCUUCCGAAUCCUUCAUUCACAACAUAAUCUCCACUGAAGACAAAUGAUAUGAUAAAAAUACUGAACAAACCAGUGAAGAGAGACACCAAUACCAUUGAUGCCAAUCUUGAUCUUGGCCAUGGGUAACAAUGUUUAUGCUUUGUUAAACCCAAAGAGAGUGAACCAGGGAGGACGGCAUGUGUUUGUGAUCAAGAUGGGGGAUCACUGUUAAAUUUGAGAGAUGAAUUGGUUAAAAGAAAAGGGUAUGAGAAGUAAAAAAAUACUAGAAAGAUGGGCCUUGAAAUGUACAUUUGUUUUUACAUAAAAAAAAUUUAAAAAAGUACAUUUGUUUUAUACAAUGUAAAACAAAUUGAAGCAAGUGCGACUUCAUCUGCAGUCGGGCUCUGAUCGCCAACCUCGCAUUCUUUUCUAGUUUUGAGUUCUCUGCUCGCACAUCUCACUGGCGCCAUCUUCACGCUUCUGAUCGUCGUUGCCCUCUCAGCCCCGAUUUGCAGUCUUUGGUAACCGAUUCGGUACUAGUCUCUCUCUCUCAACUGUGUGUUUAUUGCUUUGAUCUGGUUGGAUGUAGAAGUAGGGGAGAUGAUUUGACAGUGCUAGAUGGAUAUUAUAUGUGAAUACUCUGGGCUUCUAAAUCUGAUGGUACUUUGAGAUGGUGAUUUGAGGAUAUAUAUAUGGGUGCUUUGGCUCCAAUUAUAGAGGAUUUGAUAAUUUCUUUGUUGAUUCGGUCACCUCUCUCACUUGAAUCAUGAAAUUUCUCUAUGGUAUGGGUUGUUGUGCUUCAAUUCGCCAGUUUUCCAGUUUUUCUUUUCAUAUCAAGGUUUGUUUGCCGUCAACCAAAAGAAAAAGGUGACGAUGCAGUUUAUAUUUUCUUUUUGUUUGUGGACUGGUGAGUGUGGCUUGAUAAUUUGGAUUAUGGAUUGGUUCUCUAGCUCUAGUGUGAAGUACAUGUCUGAAUUUGGUGAAGUAGUUUCUGAUUACUCUGAUAUUUGGAAGUUGCUGCAUUCAAUUGAAAUUUGCCUCAGACAUUCUGCAGUAUUCUAUUCUAGUUAUAUGUGCUUCAUCUGUUAAUGGUUGCUUUAGCAUCACUCACUGAUAUCUAGAUUGAGCAUCAAUAGCUUCCGACUUGUGCUUUGGCUUAUCAAUUUCUCAUGCACCCACCUCAGUGAGCAUUAUAUUCUUCAGCAGAAUUGGUAAUAUCCUCCCAAUUUUCCCACCCUAUCAUUGGAUUUGUGGAAUUGAUUUCUGGUUUAAUUUGCUCUGUCAGUAUCAUCAGUUUGUCAUUUUCCUUUUAUAUCAAAGUUUGUGUCUGCCAUCAACCAAAGAAAAGGUGAUGAAGCAGUUUUAUAUUUUCUUUUUGGUCUGGUGAAUUGGCUUGGCAAGUUGGACUAUAAAUUGGUUGUAUGGCUCUAUGUGCUGGAUGUGUUGAGUUUGGAGGAGGUUUCCAUAUUUGAUGAGGAAUUUGAAAUUUGCUAUGGAAUUUGCUGUGCCUACUGUUUCUGGUGUGGUUACAUUGCUGCUGAUAUGGUGUUUGGAUGAAUCCCCUAGUAGAGAUGAGGUUAUGCAAAAUAGAGAUGAGGUAGAGAUGAGUUGCUGGUUAUAUAUGAGUGCAUAUGGAGUUGAUAAUUAAGGCAGAAUUCUUCUAAUGUUUGUGCAAGAAGCUUUAUAUGGUUACUGGUAGGGUGCAAGUGUUUCGGAUAUGACAAGAUUCAAGUUCUUAUGGCAACAUAUGCAGCUUUUCAGUUUUUCAGAUUACAAUUGAAGAAAAAUAAUAAAAUAUAUGCAGUUUUCAGAUUUGGAAUUUUUUUUUUCAGUUUUACAUAGUUUGCUGCUAUGCUACUGGGUUUAUUCUUUAUCAUGUUGCACUACUACCAGUGAGAUUCUUCCAGCAAGCUCUUUGUCCUGUUUUAUAUACCUGCUGCAAAUCAAGAUGGAAGCUAGUCUUAUCAUAUCAUGUAGGGUUUUUGAAUUGGAUGUUAUCUUGUAAUUGGCUAUAGCUGUGUAUUUUUCCAACCAGUAUGCUUGUUACCAAGCAUGUGUAGCACUUAUAUUAGUCUUUUGGCUUGUAAUACCUAUUGCCUAGCUGAGUUGUACUGUUCUCCUUAUCUAAGAAUUCACAAUGUAGUCCUUUACAGAUUCAACGUUUUCCUUGACUGCUUCCUUUUAUUUUCUGCAUCUGGCUUCAAUAAUCCAUGAUUUCUAGAAUCCUAUCAAGGUUUAAUUGUUGUUUUGGAUCCUGCUAAUGAUAAUUAUAGUAGGAUUUAUGUAGUCAUCCGUAAGAAGUCUAUUAAUUUUUUGUCUCAACUUCAAGCCUCAAACUCGAUCAAUGUACUUUGCAUAUUAGAGUGAAAAUUGCAAACUGAAUUAAUUGUGAAUCAAAUGUAUUCGGUACAAUUGUGGUAGGCGCCUAGGCGGGUAGAUACUGUAGUAUGAAUUAAACAGGUAGCUCAUUCAUGAUCUGGUUCUUGUUUUGUGAUUCAUGCUCAGUCCAGCGGCAUAUCCUGAUGAUCAGCUCCUUCAGUCUUUCAGAGGCACGAACAGUUCCUGCAACUGCGAAACUCUCCAUCAAGUCGCCACUCAUCACGAUUAGCUUCUCUUUCAAUUCACCAAUGGCUAGAACAAGAGCUGAGACUCCACUUUCACAUAAUGUUUUCAAGUAUUGGUAUGACUUGCUCGCAACACUAACAAAACAGAUGCUCCAGAUGAAGAGAACGAGCCAACCAAAAGGUGGAAAGAGGAUGAGCAGCUCUAAAGUGAAAGCCAGAGUUCCCAACAUGAUGAUAAUCCUAUUCAUGAAUUUACGAAAGUCUACUGUACUGUGAUCAUUUUGGAGUAUCAUGACACCUAUUGACCCAAAGUAAGCCGAUACGUCGAUAACAAACAACCUCAUCAAUAGUGUGUCUGGAGAUGAAUUUGCAAAUUUCAAUUGGAGGCAAAAGCCAAGGAUGGUGAUGAGAGAAACAAUACAUUUGUUCAAUCCCACCAUAGAUUUGCUCCUAGGUGCACCCUGCUCCAUUCUGUUAUACCAUAAGAAAAUUGAUCGAGUUAAAAAUUAUUUAUCAAAUUAGUGAAAAAUAUCGACUAUCGCUACGAAUGAGUUGCAGCUAGCUAGGAAGGUUUAUCCAUUGCCUUUGUUCCUCCUAGCUACAUGGAAUUUCCCUAUAUAUAUUCUUCAAUAUCUGAAAGAGAUACUUGAGUUUUAAUGAUGAAAAAUCAAUUGAGCAUGUUGAUUAUGCGCAGUAAGAAGGUAAUAUUGGAUUUAAUUUCACCAACUUCAGACUACAAUUUGAAGGAAACCCAAUUAAAUGGAGAACAUAAUGUAUUUCCCCUCGGUAAUAUGCUAGAGUUCCUCAGUAUAAUUGAGCAAGAAGCAUGAAAUGGAGACGACAACGACGGAGACUGAACAGAAAUAGGUAGCUAGGAGUUGCGACAGCAUGCAGUAGCUCUACAUUUCUAUCAACAGGUCUAAAGCAUGAAGAUAUUAAUAUUAACGGAAACCAUGAAGAUCAUAAGCAAGGGAAAGAAUAUAUAAGCUAAGACUACUAAAGCAUGCAAAAUAUAUUGUAUCUAGUAAGAUGACUAACACUGGCAAGUGAACAGAAUUCCGCAGCUUCUCGAUCUCUGUGGAGCUCAAACCUUCCUCCCUCUCGCUUCUUACUUCCUUGGGAUAUGUAAGAACUCCCUUGGGAUAUAUAAGAAAUGAAGUUAUAAGUUGCAGGGGUAUAAUAGUUGCAGCUUCUUACUUAAUAGUUGCAGCGCUUCUUUCCCUGAGGGGUGAUUAUAAAGGGUGAUUUCUUCCCACCAAUGUUUGAGAGUCGUAUAAGUUUGAGAGUAGUUUAUGAAUGUGCAGCAGUCCCGUUCGCCUGGACCAUAACCGUCAGAUCAAGCCGUCAGAUCAAGCCUCAUUUAAAUCCUAGGGUGGAGAUAUAAUCAGCAAUAGGGCUGUGUUUUUGGAUUUCUUAAUGCAUUUUGGACCUUGGCUUGAUCUGACGGUUAUACGACUCUCAAACUACUCUCAAACUUAUACGACUCUCAAGGAUACCAUCUUAACCCACCAUGCUUAUGUCUCCCAGGAAGAGCUCAAGCAUACCAUCUUAACCCACCAUGUUUGAGGGUCCCACAACGACUUCUCAAGGAUGCCAUCUGCCCCCCCCCCCCCCCCCCCCCGUCUUAACCCACCAUGUUUGAGGGUCCCACAACGACUUCUCAAGGAUACCAGCGGAUGUCGAUAUUUUUCACUAAUUUGGAUCAAAUGAGUUGCAUUCAUACUGUUUUGGAUCAAAUGAGUUGCAUUCAUACUGAAGAAGUUACAAGCGGUAUGAAUAAUACAAAACAGAAUCACUAAUGAACCAUUUAUAACAAACAUCGGACCAAAGGGCCCGACCCUAACUUCCUACUGGAGUUAAAUCUCUUGUACACCAUGAGGCUAGGAAAAUGAUCAUCAAGACCAGAUGACUCAACUGACAUAUUGCCAAUGAAGUUGGUAACGAAGCAUCGAAAUUCUGACAAGGCAGUGACUUCUAACGGUGAGGUACGAACUUGUUAACGGCAACAAACUUGAGGUAGUUAAAUGAAAGAAUUUGAUAGUUGGGUAUCAAAUUGAAGAUAGCCCUAUAGUUCGGGUGUGGUUUUUGUAAAUAAUUUAUUUUCCUAAGUCAUAACUCUGCCAUAGUGUCAUUUUCCAAACUCUGCCAUAGUGUCAUUUUCCAAACUCUGCCUUAGUGUCAUUUUCAAAGAAAUGAACCAAAUGAGUCAUAUAUAUACUCAUGAUUAUACGAACCAGGUGAUUACAAAAAACACAAGUACUCAUAAACCUUGCACAAUGUUUUGAAGGGGCCAGAACUGUUGGAUAUGUGGAAUUCCUCUCCCAACUGGUUAUUUGUAUUCAUAAAGCUCUUCUAGUGAGGACCCUUGAGGAUUUUUCGGCUUAUCCCACCUUUCGAGCUUAUAUCCACAUCUUGAUUGUUCAGUUUAUAGGUAUUUAUGAGUAGAUCAUUUCAUCAAAUUUUCAGCUAUGUUGAAAAUUGUUAAGACAUUCAUAAGUGUGAUUUAUCAAUUAUGAACUUAAACGGUUCAUAUUUGACAGAUUUGGUUCGUCCAUUAAUUUGAUCUAAUUUGUUAUCUGAACGGAUGAGAUGUCAAAAUGUGAUCGAAAAUUAGGUCUUUUAAACUAUAAACCGAAAAGUCUUCACCAAGUCCUCAACUUAAGGGUCCUUACUAGAAGGGCUCCCAUUUGUAUUCAUCAUUCAUCAGUCUCUCUAUACUAUUCAUCUGCUUUUCUUUUCUUCUUUUUUUUGGAGGUGAAGAACAAUCUUAACACAAAUCAAAGCAAAACCAAAAUCUCUCGUGUUUGCUCAUUCAAUUUUGGAUUAACAAUAGAAGAUUGGUACUGAAGGCCUCCCAAACAAAAUAUGUAACACUCAAGAGUCAGCAGAACUAUUCCAAUAAAAAAAUCUGUAGCCAUGGUUGAAACCUAGCUAGCUGCAUGCAAUGGUGAUUUAGGAACUGACAUUGCUUAUGCAACUGUGGCCAUGUGACAGAUCAAGUCGAUAACUCGUGAGCUGCAAUACACCGUGUUCAUCAGAAAACUGUGAUGUCAAAAGAAAUUUACAAUAUGCUUAUGUAGAAAUUGUGGUAUUACCUGUUACCCCACUCAUUGUCAUACCAAGCGACAAGCUUCACAAAGUUGUCAUUCAAAGCAAUUCCAGCCUUGGCAUUGAAAAUGCUCGACCUGCAGCAUAACAUGUAUGCACUCCCUCAGAGCCUCAAUCAAUUAACUGAAGUAAAGAAUAGGGCAGUUACCUAACCAAGUGCUGCAGGUUUUAUAGAGGCAACAGGUCAGAGUCAGCAAUAUUCUGGCAUUCUCACCUGUAAGUGGUUACUCACAAAGUCAGUGGACACCAAAUCAUCGUCUAUGUAUCCUAGGAUUCCCUUUAGGUUACCCUCAGAUUCUUCCCUGAAUUUCACAAUUGAAGGAAACUCAGAUGAUUGAGGAGAUAGAGGUGAGCAUGCCUUGAAAGACAAGCAAGUUACAUCAUCAAACAGAAAAAUAGGCAUAGAGAUGCACCAAAAUAUGAAACCAAGCAACUCUUUAGUAGUUUAGUGUGUUUCAAAUUCUAUAAGAAACCAAAGUGGAUGGCCUGAUCCUUACUUGAUAGCACUUUUAAUCUCAUCAUAUGUAGCCUUCUUGUCAAGUCUUACUGUGAGGUCAACCACGGACACAUCAACAGUGGGAACCCUGAAGGCCGUUCCUGUCAACUUCCCAUUUAGCGCAGGCAUCACUUUACCAACACCGUAUAAAUCAAACCAAAACUAGUUCUGAAAAUUUCCCAAAUCUUUUAGACAGCAUUAGAGAAUCAAACGAACUCUGAAGACAUACGUUACAUCUACCAACACAAGGUGUUAGGGGUCCAAUAUAAUACCUCGGCAGCUCCAGUACUAGUCGGAAUGAUGUUACGGCCAGCAGCUCUACUACCUCUCCAGUCUUUCAUUAGUGGACUAUCAACAGUCCUUUGAGUAGCUACAUCACAUAUCAAAAGAACCUUCAACCAAUGAUUCAUUACAGUCUAGCUUGCUUAGAAUCAAAUGAGCAUACUAUACAUUCUCACCAGUAACUGAAUGGACAGUGGUCAUAAGAAAAUUAAUCGUGGAUAACCUACCAAGACAUGUUCAUUGAUACAGUUAACGUACAUGAGAAAAUUAACCAGUUGAUUGAAGUACUAGCUAGCUGAUAUUGAUUUGAUUAGGACAAUAAUAAGAAAUGAAACCUUUGCCAGUGGAGCAAGACAGUGAGUAGUGCAGCUUGCAUUCGAAACAAUGUUAAGAUCUGGAGUGUAGUCCUUCUCAUUAACACCCACAACAAACAUGGGAAACUCGUCACUUGGCGCAGAAAUGAUUACUUCUUUGCACCAGCCUAUGUAAUCGAACAUUGUAUAUAUGAGCAACAAAAUCUUCAUGAACAUGUAUACAAGCAUGUGAAAAAAAUUUACCGUCAGGUGGCGUGAUGCUCUCUCCUGAUCUGAGUUAACUCCGCUGGACUCGACGACAAAUUCAGCACCACCAUCUUCCCAUGGGAUUUCAUUAGGUAAUUAAGGUAAACAAACAACUAUAAACAAGCCAAAGUGAAAUUUCAUUGUUCUUGUUAACUACAAGAGUGGGAGUGUAGCUGGCGUAUAAAUAUUAAUUAAGAAAAUAUACCUAGAAUCAUAAACCUUGACAGCCUUAUCACCAAAGAGAAGUGUGCUUUCAUCCUUAACCUUAAGCUCGCCAUGCUUCCACUGCCCAUGAACACUGUCUUACUUAAACAUGUAGCUCUGAGAAGAUGGGAUUAGUUAAUACAUGCAAACCCUUUGUCGAGAAUUAAGUUACCUAAUACACAAUAACACAAGUUCAACUCGAUCCACAAUAGUGGAGAAUUUGGGUGAUGCCAUGUAGGAAAUUCCUCCAUCGGCGAAAGACAAAAUGUUUGAUGAAAUGUCUCAAAAAGUUAAAGACGGACACUAUAUUCAUGUAGUUAACUGGUUUUACAUACACAUACCAUGUGAUCAGCAGUCAAGAAAGGAUAGUUUAUGGCAACGAGUUCAAUGUCGUCUCUCUGCAGAGCAACUCUGGCCACCGUCCGGCCAAUCCUUCCGAAUCCUUCAUUCACAACAUAUAAUCUCCAUUCAACACAAAUGAUAUGAUACAAAUACUGAACAAACCAGUGUAGAGAGACACCAAUACCAUUGAUGCCAAUCUUGAUCUUGGCCAUGGGUAACAAUGUAUAUGCUUGUCAAACCCAAAGAGAGUGAACCAGGGAGGACGGCAUGUGUUUGUGAUCAAGAUGGGGGAUCACUGUUAAAUUUGAGAGAUGAAUUGGUUAAAAGAAAAGGGUAUGAGAAGUAAAAAAAANNNNNNNNNNNNNNNNNNNNNNNNNNNNNNNNNNNNNNNNNNNNNNNNNNNNNNNNNNNNNNNNNNNNNNNNNNNNNNNNNNNNNNNNNNNNNNNNNNNNNNNNNNNNNNNNNNNNNNNNNNNNNNNNNNNNNNNNNNNNNNNNNNNNNNNNNNNNNNNNNNNNNNNNNNNNNNNNNNNNNNNNNNNNNNNNNNNNNNNNNNNNNNNNNNNNNNNNNNNNNNNNNNNNNNNNNNNNNNNNNNNNNNNNNNNNNNNNNNNNNNNNNNNNNNNNNNNNNNNNNNNNNNNNAAUUUAAUUAUUAGAACAACAAAGUAAUCGGAGAAUAAGAAACAAAGGUAGAGUUGGCCUAGUGGUUAGGUCACUCAUCACUCGCACUUUUUUUUAUCACAUGGGUUGCAUUCAUACGGAAGAAGUUACAAACGGUAUGAAUAAUACAAAACAGAGCCACUAAUAGACCACUUAAUAGACUACUUAUAACAAAUAUCGGACCAAAGGGCCCGACCCUAAUUUCCUACUAGAGCUAAAUCUCUUGUACACCAUGAGGCUAGGAAAAUGGUCAUCAAGACCAGAUGACUUAACCGACAUAUUGCCAACGAAGUUGGUAACGAAGCAUCGGAAUUCCAACAAGGCAGUGGCUUCUAUCGCUUGAAGAAAUAAGAACAUGAGUCAAUUCCGCCUCCUGAGUAGUGAAUACUCGUGAUAAAGAACUGGUGAAAACCAUCAUUACUCAUUAGCUGUGUUUGUAAUGAGCCAAUCAAGCAGAACGACCACAAAGGAUCAAAAGAGCUAAACACACAAACAAAACAAAAGAUAAAAACAGUACACACAUAAACAUAAUGAACUGCAGCAGCCCAGCCUUGACCACCGAGCCCAAAUCUCAACAUAGGCCCAGAUAUCUGUAGCCUACCCAAAACUAGACUUAGUCCAUGGCCUAGAUUCGCUUCACCUGCCUGCUUCUGUCGAACCACCACUCCUUCAUCAACACCUUCGCCAGCUUGCCCCAAGCUAUAUAUAGAUCGAGCUUCCCACACUAGCCUGCACAACUCAGAUCGACGGGCCGGGGCCGCCACCAUCAGAUUCGCGGCCAAAGCUUCCAAACUCGGUUGCACUUCCCUGAGAUAACUCGCCGUAACCCAACCAGAGACCCGAUAUGACCUCAAAUCAUCUAUCGAUCUCUAAUGCUUCCAUGAGAAACUCAGACAGACCUGAUCCGAACAGAAGGAAACCGGAUCAGGUACUAUGGACGUGUUAUGAUUGUAGUCUUUCCAAUUGGUCAAGUAGGAAUUAUAAGUACCAAUUAUAAGUACCAAGUCAGGUGCUACAAGUAGUUUUGGAAGCAGAAGUAGCAGGAUGGAGGGUGGCAAUGCAGUGAGAUCAAGUGGAACAAACGCCAGUAGCAAGGUGCUGUCAGAUUCAGAAUACGCAGCAAGGAGGGCAAGGAACCAGUGUUAUUUUUGUGAGGAGACUUACACUAGAGGUCAUAAUUGCAGGAAGAAGGGUCAGUUGAUGAUCAUGGAAAUUGUACCCGAUGAGGAGGUAAGUAAUGAAACUGAUGACCCAGCAAGAGAUGGGGCAGGCAAGGAGUUAGUGGAGGUUCCACCAAUUGUGGACACUGAGGAACCAUUGAUUAGAUUGCAAGUUCUGUCUGGGGGUAGCUCAACAACAAUGCAGUUAAAGGGAUGGUUUAAUAAGAAGUCGGUGCAUGUAUUGAUUGACUCUGGUAGCAACACAUAAUUUCAUACAUCCUCAGUUGCUGAAAGGAGCAAAAGUGCAAGUGCAUGAGCUAGCACCAUUGAAUGUUUUGUUAGCUAGUGGAGCGAAAAUGCAAACUCAUGGAGAAGCACAGCUACAGCUGCAGCUGCAAGGUUAUAAGUUUGAUGCAGAUUAUUAUGUGUUACCAGUGACAGGUUGUGAGGUUGUGCUAGGUACCAGUUGUGCUAGGUGAUAUAACAUGGAAUUUUGAGGUCAUGAGGAUGCGGUUUACAAUACAGGAGUGUGAACAUCAGUUGCAAGGAGAGACAAAACCUGAGGCCACAGUCAUUUCUUGUAAAUCCAUGACCAGGUUGUUAAGGAAGGAAAGAGAAGCAAUGCUAGUUCAAGUAGCACCAGCAAUGUCUAACCAAAAAGUGAAUCCCUACCCUGAGCAGUUGCAACCAGUGAUCACUAAAUAUACAGAAUUAUUUCUACCACCUACUGCAUUACCACCUGUCAGAGAUCAUGAUCAUAGGAUUGAGUUGCUCCCAAACACCACACCAAUUAGUGUCAGACCAUAUAGAUACCCACACUUUCAGAAGGCAGAGAUAGAGAAAAUAGUGCAGGAACUUUUGGAAAAUGGAGUGAUUAAACCAAGUGUGAGUCCCUACUCAUCACCGGUAUUGCUUGUGAAGAAAAAAGAUGGGACUUGGCGAAUGUGCANNNNNNNNNNNNNNNNNNNNNNNNNNNNNNNNNNNNNNNNNNNNNNNNNNNNNNNNNNNNNNNNNNNNNNNNNNNNNNNNNNNNNNNNNNNNNNNNNNNNNNNNNNNNNNNNNNNNNNNNNNNNNNNNNNNNNNNNNNNNNNNNNNNNNNNNNNNNNNNNNNNNNNNNNNNNNNNNNNNNNNNNNNNNNNNNNNNNNNNNNNNNNNNNNNNNNNNNNNNNNNNNNNNNNNNNNNNNNNNNNNNNNNNNUUUGCUGGGAAAUCAUUUCAGAAUUCUGACUGAUCACAGAACUAUACAAUAUUUCCUUGAGCAGAAGAUUACAACCCCUACACAACAGAAGUGGUUAUUGAAGCUUGUUGGCUAUGAUUACACCAUUCAAUAUAAACCAGGAAAGAAUAAUGCAGCCUCUGAUGCACUAUCAAGGAGAGAAGAACUCACACGUGACCUGGAACCUAUUUCUAAGUACAGUACCCUUUCAACAAUGACUGGAGUGUCAUCACCAGUUCAUGACUAUGUGCUGGAAAUUCAGAAGGCAUGUGAGAGGGAUGCUGAAACUCUUUCAAUCUUACAACAGCUAAGGGAAGGUACAAAUCCUCCAAGGUCUUUUACUCAACUUCACUCUCAGUUAUUAUAUAAGGGCAGGAUCUUUGUGCCACAGUUGGAUAAUUGGAGACAAAAGGUUAUUGUUGAGUUUCAUGAAGGGUAUAAUGAGGGGCAUGCUGGUGUUGCAAGAACCCAUAAGAGAAUGUUCAGGUCUUUUGCUUGGCCUGGUAUGAAAGGAGAUAUUAAGUCUGUGGUUUCUACUUGUCACAUUUGUCAGCAGAAUCACUAUGAGACAGUCAAUCCUCCAGGGUUGUUGCAACCAAAUGUGAUACCGGACAAAGCUUGGACUCAAAUCUCUAUGGAUUUCAUUGAAGGCCUUCCAAAGUCAGCUGGAAAAACAGUACUCUUGGUGGUGGUUGAUAGAUUGACCAAGUAUGGUCACUUUAUACCAAUGUCACACCCUUAUACAGCUUCUACUGUGGCUCAACACUUUGUGAAGGAAGUUUUUUCGACUACAUGGAAUGCCAGAAUCUAUCAUAUCUGAUAGGGAUCCAAUCUUUCUCAGCAAAUUUUGGGAAGCAUUCUUCACCUUACAGGGAACUACUUUAAACAAAAGCUCCUCUUACCACCCACAAAGUGAUGGCCAAACUGAGAACCUGAAUAGGACAGUGGAGCAGUACCUCAGGUGUGUGGUUGGAGAAAGACCAAGUUCUUGGGUUGAAGCCAUACCAUGGGCUGAGUACUGGUACAACUCAGCUCAUCAUUCAGCCAUUGGCAUGACUCCAUUUAAAGCUCUAUAUGGAUAUGAAGCUCCAGCUGUGAAAGCUUAUGAGGUGGGUGGGACUGCAGUGGCAUCAGUGGAUGCUCAAUUACAAUUAAGAGAUGAGUUAUUGGCUAGUCUGAAGAGAAAUUUGCAAGUGGCUCAAUGCAGAAUGAAAAAUUUCUAUGACAAGCAUCACUCAGAGAGAAGUUUUGAAGUGGGAGAUUGGGUUUAUCUCAAACUACAACCUUAUCGGCAGCAGUCAGUGCAAAAGCGAUCCAGCCACAAACUAGCUCCAAGGUAUUGUGGCCCUUAUCUCAUUAUACAGAAGAUCGGAUAUGUUGCUUAUAAGCUGAAAUUGCCUGAUUCAUCAAAGGUUCAUCCAGUGUUCCAUGUGUCACUGCUAAAGAAGAAAAUGGGAGACUUUGUGGUGGUUGCUACACACUUGCCUCCUGACCUUGAUCCACAUAACCCUAGAUGGUACCCAGCAAAAGUUUUGGAAAGAGGGGUUUUCAGGAAGAACAAUGCACCAGUAACUAAAUGGUUGAUUAAAUGGCUUGGUGCUGCUGAGGAGGAGGCCACGUGGGAGGAAGCAGAUGACAUUCAACGCAGGUUCCCAGAUUUCACUGAUAAGUGAGCUUGAGGACAAGCUGUUUUUUGGGAGGGAUGAAUUGUUAUGAUUGUAGUCUUUCCUUGUCUAGUUUAACUAGGAGAAGUGUAGUUGGUCAGUGGUUGGUCCUCAGGUGCUAUGCACGUGAGACAGUUUAGUGUCUGUUUAGUUUAAUUAAGUCUAAUUAGCCGUUAAGUAUGGAUUAGAGUUGCAUUAGUAAUGGACCAUCAGUUGUGUGACACGUGGGCCUGUUCAUGUGUUGUUUAUCUGGGUAUAAAGACCCCCAACUGUACUCAGUUUGGUAGAGAAUGAAAAUCUGAAGUUUAUUUCCUUUUCUUUUCUUUCAAUUUGUUCUCAGUUUCUUCAGUUAGGGCUAAUACCUUAACAGGACGCCGGAACAACCACAAAAAUCCCAUGCUAGAACGAAUCUGAACCCUUCCCCUACCACCUCAGUUGGAUCUGCAACUUCCAAUCCCACCUCUUCCUUCCUUCCAACUCGCCCACCAACAUAGACAAAAAUAGGAGAAGAAGACGAGCAAAAAUGGCGCGCACUCCAGCUAAACGUUUCCUCUCCCAGGCUAAGACAUUAUGGCGAGGCCGCCUACAAUGUUUAGCUAGGAGAGAGAGGUUUUCUUUCUUAAUAGGGUUUUUUCCUUAGGCGCGUUCUAUUUUCUAAUGCCGCGUGUAUGUCGAUUGUCCUCAUCACUCACACUUGAGUUCACAGUUUCGAUCCCCCUUGUUGUUACAUCUACCAAUACAAGGUUUUAGGGGUCUAAUAUAAUACCUCGGCAGCUCCAGUACUAGUCGGAAUGAUGUUACGGCCAGCAGCUCUACUACCACUCCAGUCUUUCAUUAGUGGACUAUCAACAGUCAUUUGAGUAGCUACAUCACAUAUCAAAAGAACCUUCAACCAAUUAAUGAUUCAUUACAGUCUAGCUUGCUUAGAAUCAAAUGAGCAUACUAUACAUUCUCACCAGUAACUGAAUGGACUGCGGUCAUAAGACCCUCUACGAUACCAAAUUUAUCGUGGAUAACCUAUCAAGACAUGUAUAUUGAUACAGUAAACAUGAGAAAAUUAACCAGUUGAUUGAAGUACUAGCUAGCUGAUAUUGAUUUGAUUAGGACAAUAAUAAGAAAUGAAACCUUUGCCAGUGGAGCAAGACAGUGAGUAGUGCAGCUUGCAUUCGAAUCAAUGUUAAGAUCUGGAGUGUAGUCCUUCUCAUUAACACCCAU
rnacentral:lncRNA from 1 species